GCCUUCGUGGUGUAAUGGUCAGCACACUGAGCCGGUAAUUUCAGAGAUCCCUGGUUCGAUUCCCGGCGAAGGCG
rnacentral:tRNA from 1 species